GCCGCGAUAGCUCAGGGGUAGAGCACGACCAUGGUAAGGUCGGGGUCGAGGGUUCAAAUCCCUCUCGCGGCUCCA
rnacentral:tRNA from 1 species